rnacentral:lncRNA from 1 species
GACAUGAUGGCGCGCUGUUUCUACUUCGCCCUUCUCAUCCUCUCGUCUCCCGUAGCGGAGAUGGUUUAGGGUUUCGGUUUGGAGAUGGCGCUGAGCAGCUUCAUCGUGACGGUGGUGGGCGUCGGCGCCACCAUCCUCCUCCCCGGGGACGUCAAGCGGUCCGCGGCCAUUCUCCGCCACGCCUGACACUGGCUCGAAGAAGAGUCCGCCUCUGCCUCCAAGUACGCUCACCAAACCGUCCUCCUUUCUCGAUGAAGUAUCCUAUGCUCUCCAUAAUGUUACUGUUUCUCCUAAACUUUAACUUCUGCGGAAUCACAGAUUUAUAAUGUUAUGGAAGUCGUAAGUGGAUUUGAUGCCUAUUCUGUACAUUCUUGAUGUGCAGGAUCUGCAAUUGGUGAUGUUGGCUUAUUUUAUGCCCAAAUAAUUCAGGUUCUUCUGUUGAUCACUGUUUAGGGAUUUUGUGCUGCGACUUCAGUUUGUGACAACUUCUAUAGUGACCUGAUUAUUACUUUAGUUACACAUGAGAUAAGAUUCUCUGAGAAAAAAAAAAAAGGGUGCAAAUGAUGGAACGGAAUUUAAAUUGUUGGCACACAUCAUGUUUGAUGAGAUCAUUAUCCAGUUUUCCAGGUUGUCAACAAGUCUGUUGAAGCUAAAAGAAGUUAUAGUACCAUAACUCUGUGUUACCCGUAGUUGUUCAUGCCCUAGCAGUGAUUAAUAUUUUUGAAUUGCCGUAUGAAGAUGGACAGUUGGAAAACAAAAUGAGUAAAAAAUUGUAGAAAAGCAAAAAGAGAUGGAUGCCAUAUGAAAGAUGCCUUUUUCUUAAUUGGGGAAUGCUGUUCCCUUGGAAUGCUCCUAAAUAUGUAACAUAUGCUAGGCUAUCUACAUUCCUGUAGUUCUUAUUGUUUUCGUGCAAAAUUGCUGCAAACAGGAAGUAGUAUUGUGCAUGGCCACCUCGGUAUUUUCUUAACUAUUUACCUGACUGAUACUGGUUGUUAGUCACGUAUGAUUCACACGAUUUAUGUUUGACUAUAUUCCUUGUCAGAUUUAGCAUUGUUUGUGUAGUUUCUAAUUUUUGACUUUUUAAGGGAAUGCUGCUAACCUCGCUACUUCUGCAUGGUUAUGUCCUGCAUUUAUAAGCCUAUCGUCUACAAGUUUUUGGAAUGGGAAUUUUUAGAAUUUGGACAUCAAUAUGUAUUUUUUUUAAUAAAGAUCAAGAGAUAGAUAUCACGUUUGAGUCCAUGUAUAAGCGUCAUGCACGCCAGUACAAUGUUGCACAAGUGAUAGGUCUCAGUUUCAAGUUCACGUAUGAGCGUCAUGUACGCCGAAUAGAAGUUUCUUUUAUUUUAUGUAGUAUUUGAAGCCCUUCGACAAGUUUGUGUGCGUGUAUCAUAAUUAGAACUUGACCUACUGAAUAUCUGAGCAGGACCUGAAGGAAGCUGGAUCAAACGGACACCUACCUGAAUAUGAACCAAUCUCAGCCAUGAUAGGCAUCUUUUCAUUGAGUAAAUGCUCGAACUUUAUCAAACAAGCUUAAGACUAGUAAAGAUUUUAAAACUUUGUAACGUACUAGUGUUAUUAAUGAAAUUAGAAUCUUUUCUUAUGCUGUGGAAUUUUCUCUGUUGCCAAGUUACUUAGCUGUUAGUCUCAUUUUAGCAUUUCUUAUGCUGUGCAAUUUUAAUAUUCCCACAUUCAU